GGGGCUGUAGCUCAGUGGUAGAGUGCAUGCCUAGCAUGCAUAAGGCCUUGGUUUGAUCCCCAGUAUCA
rnacentral:tRNA from 1 species